GUGUCAGCCGCCGCGGUAAUACAGAGGGUGCAAGCGUUGUUCGGAAUCAUUGGGCGUAAAGCGCGUGUAGGCGGUCUUCUAAGUCUGGUGUGAAAGCCCUGGGCUUAACCCAGGAAGUGCACUGGAUACUGGAAGACUAGAGGGCGAGAGGGGGAAGCGGAAUUCUUGGUGUAGGGGUGAAAUCCGUAGAUAUCAAGAGGAACAUCGGUGGCGAAGGCGGCUUCCUGGCUCGUUUCUGACGCUCAGACGCGAAAGCGUGGGUAGCAAACAGGAUUAGAAACCCUAGUAGUCC
rnacentral:rRNA from 1 species